AGCGAACGCUGGCGGCGCGCCUUACACAUGCAUGUCGAACGUGAAAUGGCUUCGGCCAAAGUAAAGUGGCGUACGGGUGAGUAACACGUAGGUAAUCUACCUAAGAGCCUGGAAUAACCUGCCGAAAGGCGGGCUAAUACUGGAUAGUUCGAGGGACUCGUAAGGAGUUUCUCGGGAAAGGGAGGUCGUAAGAUCCCUCACUCUUAGAUGAGCCUGCGGCCCAUUAGCUAGUUGGUAGGGUAAUGGCCUACCAAGGCUGUGAUGGGUAGCUGGUCUGAGAGGAUGAUCAGCCACACUGGAACUGAAACACGGUCCAGACUCCUACGGGAGGCAGCAGUGGGGAAUAUUGCGCAAUGGACGCAAGUCUGACGCAGCGACGCCGCGUGAGUGAAGAAGGCCUUCGGGUUGUAAAGCUCUGUUGAUAGGGACGAACAUACUUGUGGUUAACAGCCAUAGGAGCUGACAGUACCUAUCGAGGAAGCACCGGCUAACUCUGUGCCAGCAGCCGCAGUAA
rnacentral:rRNA from 1 species